rnacentral:rRNA from 1 species
UACGUAGGGCGCGAGCGUUGUCCGGAAUUAUUGGGCGUAAAGAGCUCGUAGGCGGUCAGGUAAGUCCGGUGUGAAAGUCAAAGGCUCAACCUUUGAAUGCCGCUGGAUACUGCUUGACUUGAGUCCGGAAGGGGCGAGUGGAAUUCCUGGUGUAGCGGUGAAAUGCGCAGAUAUCAGGAGGAACACCAAUGGCGAAGGCGGCUUUCUGGACGGUAA